rnacentral:rRNA from 1 species
UACGGGGGGAGCAAGCGUUGUUCGGAUUUACUGGGCGUAAAGAGCUCGUAGGCGGUUUGUCGCGUCUGCUGUGAAAACUCGGGGCUUAACUCCGGGCCUGCAGUGGGUACGGGCAGACUAGAGUGCGGUAGGGGAGACUGGAAUUCCUGGUGUAGCGGUGAAAUGCGCAGAUAUCAGGAGGAACACCGGUGGCGAAGGCGGGUCUCUGGGCCGUAACUGACGCUGAGGAGCGAAAGCGUGGGGAGCGAACAGG